rnacentral:lncRNA from 1 species
UUAGCACAAAGUUGAGUUAAGAUCUUUUGAUUUGUUCAAAUUAUGGUAUUCAAUCCUACAAGGGUUAAUUUUUUUACAUGUAUAACUUCUAGAAUAUAUUGAAUUUUGGGUCUCAAGACCUAAAAAAUUAUAGAUAAAUGUGUCCUCUUUCCAAUUCAUCUAAUUUGGCCUUAAUCUGAUACCCAAACAAAACGUUAUUUGAAUUUUCAUGAGGUACCAGUAACAGUCCGCAAUUUUAGCAAAGCACAGAUCUUGUGCUCGGUGAUUUUCAGCGUGGCAUGGACCUUGUUCAAAAACUCUAAAACCCAUGUUUCUCUUCACUUUUUUUAGGGCAAAUAAGUCAUUUACAUCCUAAACUAUCCUAUGAAAGACAUAAAUGUGAUUUUAUCUUCCCAUAACCCCAAAUACAUCAAAUACAUGAUCCCUUUUCCUCCCAAGUGAUAAAAAACACCAAGCAUAGGUUUCUUAAAACUCACCUCCCAAGGCUCUAAAUCCAAGUUCCCUUUCAAGUUACAAGUCAUUCAAUCUAUGUUUGUAUCAUUAUAUUUAAAUUAUAGAUACAGUAUCAUUUUAAAAAUAUCAUAAUUGAGCAAAUGAGUUAUCAAUGCAUAUACUAGUUUAUGCUUCUGUGUCUAUUUGGUUGAGAGUAGAACUUAGCACUGAGAGAAUUUAUGUAUGAAGGCUUUCCUUCCAUAUUAAAGUGAGACCUUUAGUAGCAGUCCCUAAGUUCCAAAACUACAAACAUAACAUAGGUUACGAGUGGUCUUCCU